CCUACGGGGUGCAGUAGUGGGGAAUAUUGCACAAUGGGGGAAACCCUGAUGCAGCGACGCCGCGUGCGUGAAGACGUAUCUCGGGACGUAAAGCUCUAUCCGCAGGGAAGAAAAUGACGGUACCUGACUAAGAAGCCCUGCACACUACGUGCCAGCAGCCGCGGUAAUACGGAGGGGGCAAGCGUUAUCCGGAUUUACUGGGUGUAAAGGGAGCGUAGACGGCAGCACAAGUCUGGAGUGAAGUCCCGGGGCUCAACCCGGGAACUGCAUUGGGAACUGGGCGGCUUGAGUGCAGGAGGGGCAAGCGGAAUUCCUAGUGUAGCGGUGAAAUGCGUAGAUAUUAGGAGGAACACCGGUGGCGAAGGCGGCUUACUGGACCGUAACUGACGUUGAGGCUCGAAAGCGUGGGGAGCAAACAGGAUUAGAUACCCGGGUAGUC
rnacentral:rRNA from 1 species